GAUCCUCCGUCCUCAGCCUCCUGAGUAAAGGGGACUACAGGCAUGCAUCGCCAUGCCUGGCUAAAUUUUUUUAUUUUUUGUAGAAAUGAGGUCUUGCUCUGUUGUCCUGGCUGAUCUCAAACUCCUGGCCUCAAACAAUCCUCCUGCUUUGACCUCCUUUGGAUUACAGGUGUGAGCCAUGGCACCCAGCCUGGUUCUCUUUUUCUGACCGCUUCUCUCUCUCAAUGAGUUAUUAAGCCAAGUCAUGCAUGACUAUUUUCUGAAUCACAAAACGAACACAGAUAAGAUGAAAGUGCCUCUGAUCUCUACUCCAAUCCUAGCCCUCUGGUCCUUCUCAGAGGUAAUCAGAUGCCAAUGCCACACCACAGCCUCACCAGAGCUUGAUAACAUCAAACCUAUCAUUUGUUGUCGGUCUGGUGGGUGAAAAGUGUUUUUUGUUGUCUUCUUUUGUAGCAUAGUAUAGUAGUUAGGAGUAUGGAAUUUGAAUGCGGGUUGCCUGGGGUCUAAUCCUGGCCCUGGAGUAGCCAGAGGAGGAGCAACUGUGUGGACAACUGAACCUGGCUGAAAGUCAGCUUCGCGGUGUCUGGACCAGGAAUGAUGGCAGAAGUUAUGUUCCAGGGUGGUCGUGAGGAUCGCUGCAUGAACUAGAGCGUGCUAAGUGCUCAGAGCAGGCUGGCCGGCACAAGCGUUCUGCAGGGGUUUGUUUUUAUCAUUGCCGCUAUCAUUUCCCCAAUCACUUAGGACUCUGGGCACCCCCACCCCCCACCUUCACUUUCAGUUCAGUGUUGACAGUUUCCCACGUUUCCCAGUCUCCCAGCACUAAGGCUGGGAAAUAACCGGGAAGCAGUGAAUUCCUGGUUCUGUUUCUGCCUCUUACAGUGAGAGGUGACAGCGUACUGGCAGCCCUGCAGCCCUUGCUCGCUCUCGGCGCCUCCUCGGCCUUGGCGCCCACUUUGGCCGCACUUGAGGAGCCCUUCAGCCCGCCGCUGCACUGUAGGAGCCCCUUUCUGGGCUGGCCAAGGCCGGAGCCGGCUCCCUCAGCUUGCAGGGAGGUGUGGAGGGAGAGACGCAGGUGGGAACCUGGGCUGCGCGCGGUGCUUGCGGGCCAGCGCGAGUUCCGGGUGGGCGCGGGCUCGGCAGUCCCCGCACUCGGAGCCGCCGGCCAGCCUGCAAGCCCCGGGCAGUGAGGGGCUUAGCACCUGGGCCAGCAGCUGCUGUGUUCGACUACUCGCCAUGCCUUAGCUGCCUCCCCGCGGGGCAGGGCUCGGGACCUGCAGCCCGCCAUGCCUGAGCCUCCCCUCCCGGCCGUGGGCUCCUGCGCAGCCCGAGCCUCCCCGACGAGCGCUGCCCCCUGCUCCACGGGGCCCAGUCCCAUCGACCACCCAAGGGCUGAGGAGUGUGGGCACACGGCGCAGGACUGGCAAGCAGCUCCACCUGCGGCCCAGUACGGGAUCCACUGGGUGAAGCCAACUGGGCUCCUGAGUCUGGUGGGGACUUGGAGAACCUUUAUGUCUAGCUAAGGGAUUGUAAAUACACCAAUCGGCACUCUGUAUCCAGCUCAAGGUUUGUAAACACAACAGUCAGCACUCUGUGUCUAGCUCAGGGUUUGUGAAUGCACCAAUCGACACUCUGUAUCUAGUUACUCUGGUGGGGACUUGGAGAACCUUUGUGUCCACACUCUGUAUCUAGCUAAUCUAGUGGGGACGUGAACUUUUGCGUCUAGCUCAGGGAUUGUAAACGCACCAAUCAGCACCCUGUCAAAACGGACCAAUCAGCUCUCUGUAAAACAGACCAAUUGGCUCUCUGUAAAGUGGACCAGUCAGCAGGAUGUGGGUAGGGCCAGACAAGAGAAUAAAAGCAGGCUGCCGGAGCUGGCAGUAGCAAUUGGCUGGGGUGUUUUUCCGCUCUGUGGGAGAUUUGUUCUUUCGCUUUUUGGGUCCACGCUGCGUUUGUGAGCUGUAACACCGUGAAGGUCUGCAGCUUCACUCCUGAAGUCAGGCGAGAAGACUACGAACCCACCUGGAGGAACGAACAACUCCAGACUCGCCGCAUUAAGAGCGGUAACACCGCGAAGGUCUGCAGCUUCACUCCUGAGCCAGCGAGAUCACGAACCCACCGGAAGGCUGUAACAUAUCUGAACAUCAGAAGGAACAAACUCCGGACAGGCCGCCUUCAGGAACUGUAACACUCACCGCGAGGGUCCGUAGCUUCAUUCUUGAAGUCAGUGAGACCAAGAGCCCACCAAUUCCGGACACAACAGGACACACUGCGGCUUCUCCUGGCUUUUUCAAAGUUCAGCCCAAGAGGAAGAGAGACCUAAUUAAUACCCAGGAGAUGGUGGUGUUUAUUUUUUCCAGCUGGGACAACUAAGGCCCCGAGAGGAGAAAGGGACUAUCCGGGGUACAGAGGCCACUGAGUCAGAGCUAGGACCAACAUAUCACCAGCUCUCCCUCUUCAGCGCAGACCCCAACUCACCAGCGGUGGCUUCCUGAAGAGCUGGGUUAAGGAGGAUUCUGAGGUGCAGCAGAGCUCGCUAAGAGGCUGACGGGUAAGGGGUGCUGCGCUGUGAGCACAGGAGCCAGACAGUCCUACAGUUCAACUCCAACAUCAGGGACUGAGUCGUACACAGGAAGAUCACUGAGUAGGUUCUGUGGAGACGCAGUCGGCCCAUAUGCACGUCACCACUCGGCUCCCAGCUCAGGUGCAGACCAACGGCGACCACUUGCUCCACUUUGCUCUGUGACAGCAGACGAGGUAAGGCAUGUUGCAGAUACAUGCUGAAUAUAGGGAUGCCUGUACACAAAACUGCACUCAUGCUGUGAUAACACGCAAAAGGUCACACACUGGAAGAGCCUUGCCCAACGAACGAUAGACUAACAGGCCAGAGGCGGGGAAAGCUUCUCGGAGUCCCACUAUCUUCUUUGUUUUUAUUGCUCCUACUUACUUAUGUGAUACCUUUUUAGUAGAAUGACUAGUUUUCUAAACAGAACCUGUAAUGACAGGCUCACAUUUCUUCCUCAACUCCCACCUCCAAAGCCACUCCAUUCAAAGAACUGCUGGUGAGGUGCUGGGGAGUCAAUCCGUCGUAGAGGGGAAGCGUUCUACCCCUCCAGAUCCUUCUGCAGACAGGAGGGUGUCUGCAUUCGGCGGAGUCCAAGAGUGCGGUGAGGACACAGUGGCAAAGGAAUAAUGCCAUUCCUUGAGGCAGCGCUGGGCUAGUAGAGACCUGUGAGGAAGUAAUGUGUCCUGUGGGGAUUUCAGGGUAAUUUAAUCAGCAGCACUUCAGCAGGGUAGAAAGCAAGGGCGGGGAAAAAUAAUGAAGUCAGCACUCAGCUACCAGGAGCUCCUCUGUUCAAUCUAACGGGGAGAUAUGACCCCAGAGCAGGGCUUCCCUCCCUCCACCCGGCUCCCACUUCCAGCCAGGUAAUUCUGUGUCGUGGGGGCUGUUGGGCACCAUCCCUGGCCUCCCUCCACGAGUGCCCACAGUACUGCCCUCCUCCCCACCUGUGACAAAAAUGUCUCCAGACAUUGCCAAAUGUUCCCUGGGGGGCAAAAUUGCCCCUGUUGAGCACCACUGCCCUAGAUGAACUGGAAAAGUUGGUUUGUGAAUAUGUGAGCUUAGUUGUUUCUAACACAGGGCUGAAAAACAAGAGAAGGGGACAAAGGCUGCUUUCAUAUAAAAAUGUACUGUAGUAAUCAGUAAGAAAAAGAAACAACAUUGGCUAAGUCACGAAUAGGCAUUUCACCAUAUGUACAUGAUAAAUGGCCAAUCAAAAUAAGGAAUGGGGCUCAUUCUGCUGGAAAUUAAAUACAUUCAAACAAGAACAGAGAUCCAUUAGCAAAAUGUUUAAAAAUAAUAUCACAGGGUUACCAGGGGUAUGACAAAAAUGGACACUUCCAUACACACUAGGUGAAUAUAUUGGUGAAAAUAGUUCAGAUAAACAUACAACCAUGUAUGUAAAAGUAUUUAUCAUCAAUGCAUUAUUUGUAGUAGCAAAAACAACAAGCAGCCUUGGAAACCAGUUAAUGUCCUCAGCAGGGAAUUAAUAAUAUUAUUGUAUAUUCAUGAAAUUGACACCAUGUGGCCACACAAAUGCAUUACACAGGCCUCUAUGUAACAUAGGAUAUUCAUUAGAGAAUUGUUUUUCAAGAGGACAAAGUACUUUCAUUUUUGCCUAGAAAAUGGGGGAAGACAAAAAUGCGCUUCUCUCUAGGUUGUGUGAUUUUAGGUUAUCCUAAGUUUCAUCCUUACGUGCUCCUGAAUUAUCUGAAAUAUCGUAUCUUUAAAAACAGUAACAACAAUAGUAACAAGAGCUCUGUAAUUCCUACCCUUCCAACCUCAGGAGCCCACCCACCCCUAUCCGAGCCGACCCCUGACUGCCCCUGCCAUUGCUCCCUGCUGAGUUGCAGACAUUGACUUCUUGCCAAGCCUCAGGCCUUGCUCACAUCGACACCUCACAGUGACCCUGAGAGGCAGAUGCUGUGACCCCAUUUCACAGAUGAAGGGCCUGAGCCACAGAGGAGGAAGACUGCCUCAGCCACGCCGCUAGUAAGUGGUAGUUCCCAACUCUAGAGUCCCAAAAGAAUUCUGUCCUACUUAUGAAAAGUAUAUCCAAUAAGCAGUACCUCCCUGUGUUUACAACUUAUCUGCUGAUCCCAAGGAUGGGAAAAGCUGCACUCAGAAACUUGCAAAUUGUGCAACUGUUCCCCACGAUUCCCUUGGGGCCAGUGCCGACUGAGGCAUCUCCAGGAGGCCCCAGUUGGGCUUGGGGACAUGCUGAGAGGUGACAGCACUGCUCUCAAGUCAUAUCCUCUGCUUCUGCAAAAGCUGUGGAGCUCACCCAUCAAUAGCAGCUCCAUGCCGGGCGCAGUGGCUCACGCCUGUAAUCCCAGCACUUUCGGAGGCUCAGGCGGGCAGAUCAUCUGAGGUCAGGAGUCCGUGACCAGCCUGGCCAACAUGGUGAAACCCCGUCUCUACUAAAAGUACAAAAACUUAGCUGGGUGUGGUGGUGUACGCCUGUGAUCCCAGCUACUCAGGAGGCUGAGGCAGGAGAAUUGCUUGAACCCAGGAGGGGGAGGUUGCAGUGAGCUGAGAUCACGCCAUUGCACUCCAGCCUGAGCAACAGAGCAAGACUCCAUCGCAAAAAAAAAAAAAAAAAAAAAAGGCUCUAGCAUUGCCAGAUCCCAGGCCCUGUGGAAGGUAUUUCCCUCCCUCUUUUGUCCUUGCUUGUCUCAGAGCCCUUUUCACAGUCUCUUGUGUGCUUCUUUCCCUGUUAGGACCAAUCUUUACAACUCCAGCAAGCGCAGCAAAUAAGAUGCAGAACUGGGGGAGAUGCAACGUAUGACUCAAUUCCCUUGAGCCGAAAACACUCACUUAUUAACAAUAUUUUUUUCUUUUUUUUGAGACAGAGUCUCACAAAAACAGGCACACGCCCCCACACCCGGCUAAUUUUUGUAUUUUUAGUAUAGAUGGGGUUUCACCAUAUUGGUCAGGCUGGUCUGAACUCCUGCCUUCAGGUGAUCCACCUGCCUCAGCCUUCCAAAGUGCUGGGAUUACAGGCAUAAGCCACCACGCCCCACCAAUGAAAUGUUUUCUAAAGGUGUUUUCAUCCCUUUUGUGAUCUCCUAAACUCCCAAGGUGUAUCACACACUUCGCUGGGCUCUGGGCAAACAAAACUUAGACAAGGUCCCUGAUUCUAGAAACCCUCGGUCGAGGGAACCACAAACCAACCAGAGUGGAGGGCAGGGAGAGGUCCUAGGUUGGGAGCUGGGAGCCUGGAGCACGUGCCAGGUGCUCUGCAGCCCAGCUUCAUUAUGGAGGCUCAAGCGCUGUGAAUUUCCAAAAACAGUGAACACACCCCUAGCUGAUUGAAAUACAAAAAACAUAUUCCACAGCCAAAUGAAAAUGACUUUUGGAUCCUCCACCUAAUUUGGGUGUUUAUGCCGCCUCGCCCCUCUUUUGGCCUGGACAAUUGAAAUAUAUCUGCUCUCAGGGGAGACGCCCACGGUGUCAGGGCUGGAGUUGGCAAGAGACAGGGGGAAGAGGACUAGACCUGGAGUCAGAGAUGAAGUUCUUGUCUGGGAUCUGUCACUAAGUCUCAGCGGGGACCCAGGAAGUCACUCCACCUCUCAUAGUUCCUCAUCCACAAAGUGGAAAUACAAGCAAGUUUAAUUCUCCAUCGUAAGGUUGGAGCUCCUGUCUGUGAAAGGACUGGAAAUGUAAAAUGCGCUCUUCAAGUACAAAGGCAGAGAGGAUCCAUAAACAGGCACAGGCUGCCCUUUGGUAUAAACUGUUCACAUUAAAUCUAUGUUAUGUU
rnacentral:lncRNA from 1 species